GCACUGGUGGCUCAAGGAGUAGGGCACUGGCUCCAUAUGCCAGAGGUGGUGGGUUCAAACCCAGCCCUGGUCA
rnacentral:tRNA from 1 species